GAAAGAUGGCUUUAGCUAUCACUCUGGGAUGGACCUGCGGUGCAUUAGCUAGUUGGUAAGGUAACGGCUUACCAAGGCGAUGAUGCAUAGCCGAGUUGAGAGACUGAUCGGCCACAAUGGAACUGAGACACGGUCCAUACUCCUACGGGAGGCAGCAGUAGGGAAUCUUCCACAAUGGGCGCAAGCCUGAUGGAGCAACACCGCGUGAGUGAAGAGGGGUUUCGGCUCGUAAAGCUCUGUUGUUGGAGAAGGACGUGCGUGAGAGUAACUGUUCGCGCAGUGACGGUAUCCAACCAGAAAGUCACGGCUAACUACGUGCCAGCAGCCGCGGUAAUACGUAGGUGGCAAGCGUUAUCCGGAUUUAUUGGGCGUAAAGCGAGCGCAGGCGGUUGCUUAGGUCUGAUGUGAAAGCCUUCGGCUUAACCGAAGAAGUGCAUCGGAAACCGGGCAACUUGAGUGCAGAAGAGGACAGUGGAGCUCCAUGUGUAGCGGUGGAAUGCGUAGAUAUAUGGAAGAACACCAGUGGCGAAGGCGGCUGUCUGGUCUGCAACUGACGCUGAGGCUCGAAAGCAUGGGUAGCGAACAGGAUUAGAUACCCUGGUAGUCCAUGCCGUAAACGAUGAGUGCUAGGUGUUGGAGGGUUUCCGCCCUUCA
rnacentral:rRNA from 1 species